AUUGAACGCUGGCGGCAGGCCUAACACAUGCAAGUCGAGCGGAUGAAGGGAGCUUGCUCCUGGAUUCAGCGGCGGACGGGUGAGUAAUGCCUAGGAAUCUGCCUGGUAGUGGGGGAUAACGUCCGGAAACGGGCGCUAAUACCGCAUACGUCCUGAGGGAGAAAGUGGGGGAUCUUCGGACCUCACGCUAUCAGAUGAGCCUAGGUCGGAUUAGCUAGUUGGUGGGGUAAAGGCCUACCAAGGCGACGAUCCGUAACUGGUCUGAGAGGAUGAUCAGUCACACUGGAACUGAGACACGGUCCAGACUCCGACGGGAGGCAGCAGUGGGGAAUAUUGGACAAUGGGCGAAAGCCUGAUCCAGCCAUGCCGCGUGGGUGAAGAAGGUCUUCGGAUUGUAAAGCACUUUAAGUUGGGAGGAAGGGCAGUAAGUUAAUACCUUGCUGUUUUGACGUUACCAACAGAAUAAGCACCGGCUAACUUCGUG
rnacentral:rRNA from 1 species